rnacentral:rRNA from 1 species
GCUAUACAUGCAGUCGAGCGGACAGAUGGGAGCUUGCUCCCUGAUGUUAGCGGCGGACGGGUGAGUAACACGUGGGUAACCUGCCUGUAAGACUGGGAUAACUCCGGGAAACCGGGGCUAAUACCGGAUGGUUGUUUGAACCGCAUGGUUCAGACAUAAAAGGUGGCUUCGGCUACCACUUACAGAUGGACCCGCGGCGCAUUAGCUAGUUGGUGAGGUAACGGCUCACCAAGGCGACGAUGCGUAGCCGACCUGAGAGGGUGAUCGGCCACACUGGGACUGAGACACGGCCCAGACUCCUACGGGAGGCAGCAGUAGGGAAUCUUCCGCAAUGGACGAAAGUCUGACGGAGCAACGCCGCGUGAGUGAUGAAGGUUUUCGGAUCGUAAAGCUCUGUUGUUAGGGAAGAACAAGUGCCGUUCAAAUAGGGCGGCACCUUGACGGUACCUAACCAGAAAGCCACGGCUAACUACGUGCCAGCAGCCGCGGUAAUACGUAGGUGGCAAGCGUUGUCCGGAAUUAUUGGGCGUAAAGGGCUCGCAGGCGGUUUCUUAAGUCUGAUGUGAAAGCCCCCGGCUCAACCGGGGAGGGUCAUUGGAAACUGGGGAACUUGAGUGCAGAAGAGGAGAGUGGAAUUCCACGUGUAGCGGUGAAAUGCGUAGAGAUGUGGAGGAACACCAGUGGCGAAGGCGACUCUCUGGUCUGUAACUGACGCUGAGGAGCGAAAGCGUGGGGAGCGAACAGGAUUAGAUACCCUGGUAGUCCACGCCGUAAACGAUGAGUGCUAAGUGUUAGGGGGUUUCCGCCCCUUAGUGCUGCAGCUAACGCAUUAAGCACUCCGCCUGGGGAGUACGGUCGCAAGACUGAAACUCAAAGGAAUUGACGGGGGCCCGCACAAGCGGUGGAGCAUGUGGUUUAAUUCGAAGCAACGCGAAGAACCUUACCAGGUCUUGACAUCCUCUGACAAUCCUAGAAUAGGACGUCCCCUUCCGGGGCAGAGUGACAGGUGGUGCAUGGGUGUCGUCAGCUCCCCUGAGAUG